GACAGAGGUGCCGAGCGUUAGGCGGAAUCACUGGGCUUAAAGCGUGUGUAGGCGGACGGGUAAGUACCUUGUGAAAUCCCACGGCUCAACCGUGGAACUGCUGGGUAUACUGCCUGUCUUGAGUCAUCUAGGGGCGAGCGGAACAAUGGUGGAGCGGUGAAAUGCGUAGAUAUCAUUUGGAACGCCAAUGGUGAAAACAGCUCGCUGGGAUGAUACUGACGCUGGAGACACGAAGCCAGGGGAGCAAACGGG
rnacentral:rRNA from 1 species